rnacentral:rRNA from 1 species
CCUACGGGAUGCUGCAGUGGGGAAUAUUGGACAAUGGGCGAAAGCCUGAUCCAGCCAUGCCGCGUGUGUGAAGAAGGCCUUCGGGUUGUAAAGCACUUUCAGUGGGGAAGAAAGCCUUGGGGCUAAUACCCUCGAGGAAGGACAUCACCCACAGAAGAAGCACCGGCUAACUCCGUGCCAGCAGCCGCGGUAAUACGGAGGGUGCGAGCGUUAAUCGGAAUUACUGGGCGUAAAGCGCGCGUAGGCGGUCUGAUAAGCCGGUUGUGAAAGCCCCGGGCUCAACCUGGGAACGGCAUCCGGAACUGGCAGGCUAGAGUGCAGGAGAGGAGGGUAGAAUUCCCGGUGUAGCGGUGAAAUGCGUAGAGAUCGGGAGGAAUACCAGUGGCGAAGGCGGCCUUCUGGACUGACACUGACGCUGAGGUGCGAAAGCGUGGGUAGCAAACAGGAUUAGAUACCCUGGUAGUC